rnacentral:tRNA from 1 species
AAAGACUUAGGAUUAUUAGACCAAAGGCCUUCAAAGCCUUAAGAAGAAGUUUAAACCUUCUAGUCUUUG